GCAGCCGCCGCGGGAAUACAGAGGGUGCGAGCGUUAAUCGGAUUUACUGGGCGUAAAGCGUGCGUAGGCGGCUUCUUAAGUCGGAUGUGAAAUCCCUGAGCUUAACUUAGGAAUUGCAUUCGAUACUGGGAAGCUAGAGUAUGGGAGAGGAUGGUAGAAUUCCAGGUGUAGCGGUGAAAUGCGUAGAGAUCUGGAGGAAUACCGAUGGCGAAGGCAGCCAUCUGGCCUAAUACUGACGCUGAGGUACGAAAGCAUGGGGAGCAAACAGGAUUAGAUACCCGGGUAGUCCCUGUCUCUUAUAC
rnacentral:rRNA from 1 species